UUAACUUGUACUCAAAAUGUUGUCACAAAUAAUUCUAUGUUGGAGCAAACUAUAAAAAGGUCCUUACAAUGUCUAGGUUCUUAAAGGUUCUAACGAAAGAGCAAUGGGGAGGUCUACCUUUAAGGACGGACUUUGAGGAUGAGGUUAUAACUGAAGUGGAACUCCCGGCAAAAUAUGUGGUUAUUUCAACUACUUGCACUAGGCCAUGCGUAGCCCUAGAAGACUGCGCCAUUCUUAUGAAAAGAUAUCAGGAAUAUUUUCAUUUCAAUGAACAUCAAGAUGUGCCGUUCAAGUAAGUUUUAUGGUUGGUCCAAGCAACGUAGUCCUCGAAGGGAGGGGGUGGAAGACGAACUGCAUAGAGUUCAAGCAAAAAGACAGGGAAGAAGUACCGGUAUGGAAUCCGUCGACAGAGACUAGAAAAUCCGCUGAAAAAGCCAAAGAUGUAAUGUUAUUGAAGGAUUCGUUAGGAUUCAAGAAACCUGCGACGAAGCAAGAGAAUUUAAAUAAAAUAAUGGAGGAAAUAAGGUGGAAAAAGCUUGCAGAAACGCUUGAGACAAGUACAAAAGACAAUAACAAGUAUUUUGGCAAGACAAUCGUUAUUGGAAUGAUCACCGAGGUAUUUUUUUCAGGAAACCCCAGUACAAGGGCGUUGUCAUCGGCCUUAAACUUAAUCAAAUAUGGAGUCAGACACAAAUACAUACAGAGGAAACAUCGUAUUAAAUAUAAUUUUGACCCCAUAUAUAAAACGGACGAAACAAUACCAGAAUCUGAUAUGCCAGUCUUAGGCUUAGGACCAGCUUGGAUGACACCUAGAAUGUGUAAGAUCGAGGAAUUUGUAAACUUAUUCCAGGAACCAACAAUGAAACCAAUUAACUAA